ACUUUUUGUCUAUUUUCGUCCUUCUGCUUUGCAUCUUUCUAUUGUGGGUUAUUUUUUUUUUCAAAUUUUUGUCGUUAGGGUGUCAAAUAUAUUUCUUUUAGAUUUUUUCUGCCUUUGACUUUACACGUGUUCUCUUCUACUUCCUUUAUUUUCCACGUGUCUCCUUCUUCUUCUUUUCUCUAUCUCUUUCAUUCUUCGUGUCCUGCUCUUUGCAGACUUCGUUGGUUCCUUCUAUCGCAGGUGAUCUUCUUCUCUUCUCCCGCUGUUCUUACUUAGAUUUGGUUUUAUGUUUAUUUUCUUUCUGCUGUCUUCUCGGUCCAUCUUUCUAUGUCUGACCGGCCGAAGCGGAAACCUAAUGACGGUGCCUUCCCUUCGCGCAAAUGCGAAGGGAAGGCAAUUGUUCUAUAACGUAGUUGGCACCACCGACAACCGAAAUCGGCGUAGGGGUUGCUUCUGGCUCCUUUUUUUUAGAUGGCCACCGGUUAUAUUCUCAAGCUAAUCGAUUGUCUUUCUUGCAACAGAUGCUGCUCCGACGAACCCACCAGCAUCGGCGCCAUGGCAUCCCGGAUAAGACAAAUCUCUAUUUCUCGGCCAGGUACAAGCUGAUGUUGGCUGAUUCCAUUGCAUGUUUGCCAUGUGUUUCGCUGUUCACCACCGAUUGAAGAAGACGUAUCUCAAGGUGUGUUUUAGGUUUUUGCACGACACAGAGAGGGGUUCGAGAGGACAGUCAAGCCCAAAUGAUAAAUCGAAAUAUUCAAUAAAUUAGGGCUUGAUUUCGUGGGUAUGUUUUAUAUUUUGAAGACUUCUUUGUACAUUUUACUAUUUUUUUACAAAAUUCUAUUGCAGUCUGAACAUUAUAGUUUCGCUAUCUUCUCACCAUUGAUUUUGCAACAGUAAUACGAGUUUGUUGGAGUGUUAAACCUUUUCUUGAUGAACAUUGUGAUGAUACUGUGACAUAUCAAUGGUUAAUUCAUUACAUGUUUAAGGAGAGAUGAUUAUGGUUUUUUGGAAGAUUAAAAUGAGGUUUGGUAAGCUUCUGGAGAACAUGUCUUUAGGGAAGCAGAGGAGUUGGAUAAACAAAAGGAAUGGACAACGGAAGAACCACAGAUGUGGUGGAGAAAUCAGUAGAAGUUAAAGCCAUUGAGAAAUUGGCUAAAGAUCUUGAAAGUUCAUCUCCGCUUGCAAUCAUGUUAAUAAUUUUUUUUUCUUUAUGUAGGUAAAAUAGAAGAUGAUGAAAACAACUCUAAUGAAAGAACCCUACAAUGAAAUUGAAAGAGUGAAAGCUGGUAAAUAAUUUCAUUAUUUAAUAAUUCUUUAAAGACUUAAAAUGGAAGUUAUUCUGAGA